rnacentral:tRNA from 1 species
GCUAAAGUAGCUUAACCUAAAGCAUCAGCCUUGUAAACUGAAAUUAGAGAGGCCCCCUCUCUUUAGCC